rnacentral:lncRNA from 1 species
CUCUGUCAAAGUUUAACUUCCAACUGCGAUCCAUUUGGGAAUCCUCUUCAAUGGUUGCCACAUACAUCAAGUCCUUGUUCGGGAAAUCAAAAUUCAAAGGCUCGUAAUCCUCCAAGGCUCUACUAGCUAGAAAAUCCGCUAUUACACUCCCUUUCACGGCCUUCUGGCUUACUUAAACUAUAUCAAAUUCAGAAAGCAAGAUCUCUC